rnacentral:rRNA from 1 species
CAGUAGCCGCGGUAAUACAGAGGGUGCGAGCGUUAAUCGGAUUUACUGGGCGUAAAGCGUGCGUAGGCGGCUUCUUAAGUCGGAUGUGAAAUCCCUGAGCUUAACUUAGGAAUUGCAUUCGAUACUGGGAAGCUAGAGUAUGGGAGAGGAUGGUAGAAUUCCAGAUGUAGCGGUGAAAUGCGUAGAGAUCUGGAGGAAUACCGAUGGCGAAGGCAGCCAUCUGGCCUAAUACUGACGCUGAGGUACGAAAGCAUGGGGAGCAAACAGGAUUAGAUACCCGUGUAGUCCCUGUCUCUUAUAC